CCUGGAUUAAUCUUUUUAGUCACAUAGUACUAUUACUCUGAACACUACUGUACGACAGAUUUAGAAACAACCUGGAAUGGAAUUUUACUGCUGCUAAGCUGAAUUAAUUCAGUAUGACACAAAAAUGGAUUUACCAUGUGGAAUUAAUUAAUGCUGCCUGUGUGUCCAGUCGGGAUUGUGUGUAUCAUGAUAUUGUGCCUUGUUCCGUCUGCAGAAUUUGAAAGCUGGAACAUAUCGGAUCUGUGUAAACUUUCAGCACUAACUUCUUCAGAUUAUGGCAUGUUCAACUUCUGUACCUUGAUAUUGCUUGGCAGUGCCUGGAAUACAAUGUGACUCAUGAAUGAUCAUCUGCAAAGGAAUUGAUUGAAGCUGGAACAGAUUGGAUCUGUAAAAACUUUCCAUAUCCAGGUAAGAACGGUAUUUUAACACGUAUCUUGGGGAGGUGAUGGUCUAGUGGUUAAGCGUUGGUCUUGAGACCAGAGAACCCUCUGUUCAAAUCUCAGUCUGACUAGAAAAUCAAUAAGGGCCCUUGGGCAAGGUCCUUAAUCCCCUAGUUGCUCCCUGUGUGUAGUGAGCGCCUUGUAUGGCAGCACCGUGUCAGAGUGAAUGUGAGGCAUUAUUGUAACGCGCUUUGAGCGUCUGAUGCAGAUGGAAAAGCGCUAUAUAAAUGCAGUCCAUUUUACCAUUUAUUUUGCAAGCUUUUUUCCGUGUGUGUUCACCCGUGUAUUUACUUACGCAUAGAAAAUGCACAUGAAAACAUUUCACAUCUGGGCAGUUAGUCACUAUUUGGCCCGGUUUGAAAAUGGUGGCUCAUUUUCCAUGAAGGAACAUUUGCGUUAAGUAGGCAGCAUUGCGACUGCGGUCUCUAGUACUCCGAUACUCCCAACUAACAA